AUACGUAGGGGGCUAGCGUUAUCCGGAAUUACUGGGCGUAAAGGGUGCGUAGGUGGUUUCUUAAGUCAGAAGUGAAAGGCUACGGCUCAACCGUAGUAAGCUUUUGAAACUAAGAGACUUGAGUGCAGGAGAGGAGAGUAGAAUUCCUAGUGUAGCGGUGAAAUGCGUAGAUAUUAGGAGGAAUACCAGUUGCGAAGGCGGCUCUCUGGACUGUAACUGACACUGAGGCACGAAAGCGUGGGGAGCAAACAGGAUUAGAUCCCCUGGUAGUCCACGCCGUAAACGAUGAGUACUAGCUGUCGGGGGUUACCCCCCUCGGUGGCGCAGCUAACGCAUUAAGUACUCCGCCUGGGAAGUACGCUCGCAAGAGUGAAACUCAAAUGAAUUGGCGGGG
rnacentral:rRNA from 1 species